GGAUUCUUGGCUGGAGGAUAUUAUGCUGUUUGAAAUGUGCAAUGAUAUAGUUGGCGGCAGUAUUUCGUGACGUUCGGUCGUGCGGUUCUCGCAACGUCCUGUAUAUCAAGCUUCAUCAUUUUAUCAUAAACCGUGCUGUAGCGAAGAGAAUGAUGUAGCAAGUUGAGUAGACUUUAGUGCUUGGCGGGAGUGAUAUGAGUGAAGGGCCUGUUUGCUCAACACUGUACGAGAUGAGUAUGUCGCUCUGGAGCGGCUCAAAUUGAAUGGGGCUUUAUUACUCUUUUGUUUUUCACAUUUGAAUAAGGAAGGAUGUAAAGUGAUAUGACCAGGCGGCAAAGAUGAGAAAAUAAAAAGGGUGAUAAUUUAUAAGCGAGACAACAAGUGUCGUAGUGCUGGUACCGGAUAAGGUGGAUUCAGAUGCUACAGAAAAAGGAAUAAGUGUGCACAAUUUAACGAAAGGAGAAGAGAGUACACCAUAAUUAAUUGAAAUGAGAUGCACACAACCGUUAGCAUGAUUAAUUAUAAUUGGAUACUAACAAACUGAUGGGAAUUGAGUUAACUACGGUGAUUAAUAC